CUCUCCCGCCACCUCUGGACUCCCUCUCCCGCCACCUCUGGACUCCCUCUCCCGCCACCUCUGGACUCCCUCUCCCGCCACCUCUGGACUCCCUCUCCUGCCACCUCUGGACUCCCUCUCCCGCAGCUGCAGGAGGCCGUACUGUCACCCAGGCAGCCCUACCCUUGUGAGCACCCGAGGAGUGGGCAGAAGCACAGGCACAUGACAACACGAGACCCUGGACCCCUUCAGGAGCCAUGCGGAAAGACAUGGGGAGCACUUAGGAAGGCCCCCCAAGAUACUGAAGUGCCUGCCAGCCUCCACAUUUCCAUCUUUGCUUUGGCCAUCAGAAAGCUUGGAACUAAAUUUAAUCUCGCGUCAUAAUAAUCUUACCACCUUUUUGACUCCCUCCUUCUUUGGCAUGAGUUUUCAAUUUUCUGUUCCCAUUUUAGCAAUCUUAUUGUGCGUGUAUCUUUUAUUGGAAGCUGCCUCCAAUCCUUUUUAGAAGCUGACAGGGUAUAAAUUGUAAAUAAAAAUAAAUACUGCU
rnacentral:lncRNA from 1 species